rnacentral:lncRNA from 1 species
GCGUGUAUAAUUUUCUGUUCUCCACCCUUCUCUGUCCCGUGGUGCCGUUCACUCUCCUAGUUCUUCUCAUUUUCUAAUUUCAAUUCUGCUUCUUAUAAGCCUCAGAGCUUCACUGAGCCCAGGUAAUCGUCUAAUCUUCUUUUAGUUGCAGAUUUUUUAAAUCAACAUUUUAUUUCUCAGGUUUAAUUUUGGGGUAUAAUUUAAGGUGUUGUUUGAUUAGUAUUGUUAUUAUUAUUUUGUGCAUCAGCUCCUCAAGUUUUUCAUCGCGGUUUAUUGGUUUUGGAAAUGAUUAGAUUUGGUUCCUCUAUUUUCUCAAAUUCACGUCUGAUUUGGCUGUGGAUUAUGAAGGGGUUUGUUGGUUUUCAAUUAAUAUUUUAGCUUAUGGGAUAAUUAGAGCUGCUUUAUCAACAUUUAAAAGGAUAAAAGAAACGAUCGAGAUUCCAUUUCAUUGCCUUUCCUACUCCGAUUCUCAAUCCCUUAAGGCCGGUUGGGUGGGCUGGCUAUGUGUCUGCUGUGAUUUUAGCCAUUGUUGCAAGGUAGCUAGCUUCUUUUUCUCCAUUUCAUGGCUCUUUCCAAGACUAACCAUCAUGUACUUCCAGGCAAUUGGGCCUUCUGGGAGAGUUUGAUUGUAUAGGCUGAGGCUGAGUCUUGUGAAUCAUGAUCACCAUCUUUAAACAUUCAUGCUUCUUUAUUUUUAUUAUUUUUGAAUAAGUUGUGUUCUUUGAUGCAAUACAACAACAUAUGAAUGAAUAAUCUCUGGCCUUUUUUUAAACUUUCAUAUUGGGGUCUGCCAAUAGCUCAAUCAACUCUUAUGCAAACUCCAGAAUGCUAAUAUGAGGAAAUGAAAAUAUGAAGAAAUGAUAUACAAAGGUGCCACAAUCUUUAAAGCUGGAGACUUUGGUGUGUAACAACAAACAAGAACCACAAAGUUGAUCCACUUUUUUCAACCAAAAGUCAUACGUUUGAUCACAGGACAAGAAUAAAGUUUAGUUUAGUUUCUAAAUGAGCUUAUGUUGUCACAGUCGAAUCAGUUAGAUCACUUAGCAAUAUAAGUUAGUAGGUGUCGUAAGUUAGAGAUGUGGCGGGAAGAGUGGAAUGGAUCCUGUAUAAACAAGAGCACCAUUGCAACUCCACAAGAAUAAAAGACAAUGAAAAUACAAUUUCCAGUGCUAAGCACAUAAGCGUUGAAUUAUUCAACGGGCAACUAAACUCUCAAAAACCCAUUUCCAAUAUGUGAUGAAAGUGAUAGAAAUUGAAGCUAAAAUCUCUGCAGCUCUCAGGCUCCCAACUGCUAAAGGUCAACUCCAGGCUGAGCCUCCAUGUUUGUCUCCUCCUUUAUUUCUCUCAUUCUUUACUCUCUUUGCCUAAUUUUUUUACCGGUAAUAAGAGAGGGUUUGGUUUGGUUUAAUGUGAAUCUGUUAUCCGUGGCAAAAAAGUUAUUAUUAUUAUUUUUUAAAUUUAAAAUUUUCCAUAUGCGAAGGGAAGAUUCUGACAUAAUUGAUUGAACAGUUGGUUAUGAAAUAAUUGACUAAUUAAAAUGUUGAUUAUUCUGUCUUGUAUUUGGUUGGUGAAUGUACUCGUCCUCCAAAUUUUAUUUCAAUAUUUGACGUUUACUAUUUUGCCCUCGUGUGAAGAAUCCUAUUUUAGCUUACGGUCAUUUGGACCAAUUCCGGUGUUUAGAUAAAAAAAUAUAUAAAAAUUAAAAAAUUUCGCGUGGGAAAAAAACAUAGAAUUUGGAAAUCAUAAAUCCUAACUUUAAAUUCUAUCUCAAAGUUGCUCCCUAAGCCGCUGCAGCCGCUCCUGCUCCUACUGCAGGUGCAGCAGCCGCCGCACUUGCCGCUCCUGCUCCCGCGGCCGCACUUGCCGCUCCUGCUCCCGCCGCCGCACCUUCGGCUUCUGCAGCCGCGGCAGCCGCUGCAGCCACUCUUGGUCCUGCUCUUGCUCCUGCUCCUGCUCCCGC